rnacentral:rRNA from 1 species
GACAGAGGUUGCAAACGUUGUUCGGAAUUACUGGGCGUAAAGCGCGCGUAGGCGGACCUGCAAGUCGGGGGUGAAAGCCCGAGGCUCAACCUCGGAACUGCCUUCGAUACUGCGGGUCUCGAGUCCGGGAGAGGUGAGUGGAAUUCCUAGUGUAGAGGUGAAAUUCGUAGAUAUUAGGAAGAACACCAGUGGCGAAGGCGGCUCACUGGCCCGGUACUGACGCUGAGGCGCGAAAGCGUGGGGAGCAAACAGG